rnacentral:rRNA from 1 species
GAUGAACGCUGGCGGCGUGCCUAAUACAUGCAAGUCGCGCGAACAGAUGAGGAGCUUGCUCCUCUGACGUUAGCGGCGGACGGGUGAGUAACACGUGGAUAACCUACAUAUCAGCCUGGGAUAACUUCGGGAACCCGGUGCUACUACCGCAUAAUAUAUUGAACCGAAUGGUUAAAUCGUGCACGACGGUUUUGCUGUCCCUUAUAGAUGGAUCCGCGCCGCAUUAGCUAGUUGGUAAGGUAACGGCUUACCAAGGCGACGAUGCGUAGCCGACCUGAGAGGGUGGUCGGCCACACUGUAACUGAGACACGGUCCAGACACCUACGGGGGGCAGCAGUAGGGAAUCUUCCGCAAGGGGCGAGUGCCUGACAUAGCACCGCCGCGGGAGUGAUGAAGGUCUUCGGAUCGGAGAGCGCAGUUAGUAUGGAAAAACAAAUGUGUAAUUAGCUGUGCACAUCGUGACGGUACCUGAACAAAAAGCCACGGCUAACUACGUG